rnacentral:tRNA from 1 species
GGGCCCGUGGGGUAGCUUGGUAUCCUCCGACCUUGGGGUGGUCGAUACUCCAGUUCAAAUCUGGACGGGCCCA